rnacentral:rRNA from 1 species
GUUUACUACGGGGGGCAGCAGUGGGGAAUAUUGGGCAAUGGACGCAAGCCUGACCCAGCAACGCCGCGUGAAGGAAGAAGGCUUUCGGGUUGUAAACUUCUUUUAAGGGGGAAGAGCAGAAGACGGUACCCCUUGAAUAAGCCACGGCUAACUACGUGCCAGCAGCCGCGGUAAUACGUAGGUGGCAAGCGUUGUCCGGAUUUACUGGGUGUAAAGGGCGCGCAGCCGGAGAGACAAGUCAGAUGUGAAAUCCACGGGCUCAACCCGUGAACUGCAUUUGAAAUUGCUUCCCUGGGGCGUCGGCG